rnacentral:rRNA from 1 species
GAUGAACGCUGGCGGCGUGCUUAACACAUGCAAGUCGAACGAAACACUUUUACAGAUUUCUUCGGAAUGAAGUUUUAGUGACUGAGUGGCGGACGGGUGAGUAACGCGUGGGUAACCUGCCUCACACAGGGGAUAACAGUUGGAAACGGCUGCUAAUACCGUAUAAGCGCACAGUACUGCAUGGUACGGCGUGCAAAACUCCGGUGGUGUGAGAUGGACCCGCGUCUGAUUAGCUAGUUGGCAGGGCAACGGCCUACCAAGGCGACGAUCAGUAGCCGACCUGAGAGGGUGACCGGCCACAUUGGGACUGAGACACGGCCCAAACUCCUACGGGAGGCAGCAGUGGGGAAUAUUGCACAAUGGGGGAAACCCUGAUGCAGCGACGCCGCGUGAGCGAAGAAGUAUUUCGGUAUGUAAAGCUCUAUCAGCAGGGAAGAAGAAAUGACGGUACCUGACUAAGAAGCACCGGCUAAAUACGUGCCAGCCGCCGCCGUAA